rnacentral:misc_RNA from 1 species
GGAAGGAUCAUUAUUGAAAUAAACCUGAUGGGUUGCUGCUGGUUCUCUAGGGAGCAUGUGCACACCUUGUCAUCUUUAUAUCUCCACCUGUGCACCUUUUGUAGACCCUUUCAGGGUCUAUGUCGCUUCAUUUACCCCAAUGUAUGUUAAUAGAAUGUUGUGCUUAUUUAUAAUAU